UGACUGUGAUGAGAUUGGAGAAUGAUUCUAUGUGAAUUACACUCCGUGCGAUUUGCAUUACCGGGUGCUUAUCGCGAAUCUGAUAUCGGAAGUGCGUC
rnacentral:lncRNA from 1 species